ACAGCACACAACCCAGGAGCAAUGUGAAAAAUGUUAUUAUUUCUGCUGAAAUGGAGGAAGGUCCACGUGAUACAGCUGCCCAAGAAGGUAGCGUGGAAAUGUGCCCCAGGGUCCGACCCAUCUCGGCGAAGCACGGUCUGAGCGAUUCGGGGCGAGGAGGAUCUGUCUGCAGUACCUUGGACGGCAACUGUUUGCAUUUCCCUGGUGGAAGCCUCCAGAUGAGACGAGUGCUAAGAAGUGAACUUUUUAUGUUCAGCUGGACUGUAGAAGUUGAAGGAGAAAUUAAAGAAGAUGUGAAACCAACAAAACAAGGAAAGAGGAAGGAUAAAGUGAUAGAGAAGCAGUGAAUAGCAAGGAAGAGAAUCGAGCCGAAGAACUAGAAAGAUUAUUUCAAAUGGUUGAAGAGAGGCAUGAGAAGGAAGUGGGA
ensembl:lncRNA